UACGUAGGGGGCAAGCGUUGUCCGGAAUCAUUGGGCGUAAAGCGCGUGUAGGCGGUUCGGUAAGUCGGCUGUGAAAGUCGGGGGCUCAACCCUCGAAUGCCGGUGGAAACUGUCGGGCUCGAGUGCGGAAGAGGCGAGUGGAAUUCCUGGUGUAGCGGUGAAAUGCGCAGAUAUCAGGAGGAACACCGAUUGCGAAGGCAGCUCGCUGGGACGCGACUGACGCUGAGACGCGAAAGCGUGGGGAGCAAACAGG
rnacentral:rRNA from 1 species